GACGAACGCUGGCGGCGUGCUUAACACAUGCAAGUCGAACGGAAAGGCCCUGCUUUUGUGGGGUGCUCGAGUGGCGAACGGGGGAGUAACACGUGAGUAACCUGCCCUUGACUUUGGGAUAACUUCAGGAAACUGGGGCUAAUACCGGAUAGGAGCUCCUGCUGCAUGGUGGGGGUUGGAAAGUUUCGGCGGUUGGGGAUGGACUCGCGGCUUAUCAGCUUGUUGGUGGGGUAGUGGCUUACCAAGGCUUUGACGGGUAGCCGGCCUGGGAGGGUGACCGGCCACGUUGGGCCUGAGAUACGGCCCAGACUCCUACGGGAGGCAGCAGUGGGGAAUAUUGCACAAUGGGCGGAAGCCUGAUGCAGCAACGCCGCGUGCGGGAUGACGGCCUUCGGGUUGUAAACCACUUUCGCCUGUGACGAAGCGUGAGUGACGGUAAUGGGUAAAGAAGCACCGGCUAACUACGUG
rnacentral:rRNA from 1 species